UACGUAGGGUGCGAGCGUUGUCCGGAAUUAUUGGGCGUAAAGAGCUCGUAGGCGGCCUGUCACGUCGACUGUGAAAACCCAGGGCUCAACCCUGGGCCUGCAGUCGAUACGGGCAGGCUAGAGUAUGGUAGGGGAGACGUGGAAUUCCUGGUGUAGCGGUGAAAUGCGCAGAUAUCAGGAGGAACACCGGUGGCGAAGGCGGGUCUCUGGGCCAUAACUGACGCUGAGGAGCGAAAGCGUGGGGAGCGAACAGG
rnacentral:rRNA from 1 species